rnacentral:rRNA from 1 species
UACAGAGGAGCCAAGCGUUGUCCGGAUUGACUGGGCGUAAAGCGCACGCAGGCGGUCUGGCGCGUGGGGUGUGAAAUCUGGCCGCUUAACGGCCAGGCGCCAUCCCAUACGGCUAGACUGGAGGGCUGCAGAGGUCGAUGGAAUUGCCGGUGUAGUGGUGAAAUGCGCAGAGAUCGGCAGGAACACCCAGGGGGAAACCAGUCGACUGGGCAGCACCUGACGCUGAGGUGCGAGAGCGUGGGGAGCGAACCGG